CGCUGGCGGCGUGCCUAACACAUGCAAGUCGAACGGAGUAAUUUCUUCGGAGGUUACUUAGUGGCGGACGGGUGAGUAACGCGUGGGUAAUCUGCCUUACACAGGGGGACAACAGUUGGAAACGACUGCUAAUACCGCAUAAGCCGGUAGUGCCGCAUGGCAUAUCCGGAAAAGAUUCAUCGGUGUAAGAUGAGCCCGCGUUGGAUUAGCUAGUUGGCGGGGUAACGGCCCACCAAGGCGACGAUCCAUAGCCGACCUGAGAGGGUGAUCGGCCACAUUGGGACUGAGACACGGCCCAAACUCCUACGGGAGGCAGCAGUGGGGAAUAUUGCGCAAUGGGGGGAACCCUGACGCAGCAACGCCGCGUGAGUGAUGAAGUAUUUCGGUAUGUAAAGCUCUAUCAGCAGGGAAGAAGAUGACGGUACCUGCAGAAGAAGUCCCGGCUAACUACGUGCCAGCAGCCGCGGUAAUACGUAGGGGACAAGCGUUAUCCGGAUUUACUGGGUGUAAAGGGAGCGUAGGCGGCCAGCCAAGUCAUAAGUGAAAUCCCGUGGCUCAACUGCGGGUUUGCUUUUGAAACUGGAGGGCUUGA
rnacentral:rRNA from 1 species